rnacentral:rRNA from 1 species
ACGUUAGCGGCGGACGGGUGAGUAACACGUGGGUAACCUACCUAUAAGACUGGGAUAACUCCGGGAAACCGGGGCUAAUACCGGAUAANACAUGAAACCGCAUGGUUUCAUGAUGAAAGACGGUUUUGCUGUCACUUAUAGAUGGACCCGCGGCGUAUUAGCUAGUUGGUAAGGUAACGGCUUACCAAGGCAACGAUACGUAGCCGACCUGAGAGGGUGAUGGCCACACUGGAACUGAGACACGGUCCAGACUCCUACGGGAGGCAGCAGA